UACGUAGGGUGCGAGCGUUAAUCGGAAUUACUGGGCGUAAAGCGUGCGCAGGCGGCGCGUUAAGACAGGUGUGAAAGCCACGAGCUUAACUUGGGAAUUGCGCUUGUGACUGGCGUGCUGGAGUGUGGCAGAGGGAGGUGGAAUUCCACGUGUAGCAGUGAAAUGCGUAGAGAUGUGGAGGAACACCGAUGGCGAAGGCAGCCUCCUGGGCCAGCACUGACGCUCAUGCACGGAAGCGUGGGGAGCAAACAGG
rnacentral:rRNA from 1 species